rnacentral:rRNA from 1 species
CUGGCGGCGUGCCUAAUACAUGCAAGUCGAACGGUCUUUUCUAUGGAAGCUUGCUUCCGCUGAGAAGAUAGUGGCGAACGGGUGAGUAACACGUGGGUAACCUGCCCAUAAGAGGGGGAUAACAUCCGGAAACGGGUGCUAAUACCGCAUAGUUUUCUUGAUCGCAUGAUCGGGAAAGGAAAGACGGCCUUUGUGCUGUCGCUUAUGGAUGGACCCGCGGCGUAUUAGUUAGUUGGUGAGGUAACGGCUCACCAAGACGAUGAUACGUAGCCGACCUGAGAGGGUGAUCGGCCACAUUGGGACUGAGACACGGCCCAAACUCCUACGGGAGGCAGCAGUAGGGAAUCUUCCGCAAUGGACGAAAGUCUGACGGAGCAACGCCGCGUGAGUGAAGAAGGUUUUUCCGGAUCGUAAAACUCUGUUGUCAGAGAAGAACAAGUUGGAGAGUAACUGCUCCAGCCUUGACGGUAUCUGACCAGAAAGCCACGGCUAACUACGUGCCAGCCGCUGC